GUCAAUCCCAGUAUUCUUGCUUUGUUCUGCUAAGGAGAGUGGGUGAUCCACUAAAAUAUUUGCUUUGCUUUCUCGCUUGAACAGCUUCACUUUCUGAGGCUGUAUACUGUGUGUCUCCUUUGCUUCUAGGAGAGAUCUCAUAUCCGUACAAGGAAUCUGGGGCUUAAGAUGAUGGCUAAAACUGGCCACCAGGCAAGAGAAAGUAGAGCUUUUUCCCAAAUUGCCACCAUGGGGUGCUGCUGAUACUUCAGCAGGGCAAUUAAAACGGUUCUUCUGCACUGUACUUUCCCAUUAGGAACUGUUUCAUUGGAGCCGCAAGGGGUUGCUCUUAAUGCAAGAAAUAGGCAAGAUGUUACUGGGUGUAUCUUCUUUGAUGAUGGACAAAGAUGGCCUUAAGCUUGUUCCCACAGUCUCAGUGUUAUUCAAGCGCAAGACCAGCCAUUACUAAUCAGGAAACCUAUCACUGCACAAAGGACUAGUUCCAUGCCUUUUGAUGCCUCUCAUCUCUUUAACACGUCACGGAUUCUUGACCGGACGAAAGGCAGUGUGUCAUCCCCAUCCUCCACUCCCAUCACUGCUGCCUGCAGCCAUGCAACCUAAUUGUCUGGGCUGGGUCUGGUUGCUUUCCCAAGACCUCACAGUGCCAGGAUGCCUCCUUGCCUGGUUGGAAGCAGAACGCAAGUCUGCACUCGCUCUCUUCCAACUCAUGUACGCUGCCUCGCUUGCAGUAUGUCCCACAGGAUAGGAGAUCUCAUGUGGGACAUUUCAAACUGUUCUGGGCGACCUCAGGACCAACUCACGGAACAGCCGGCUGAACGAUUUCUGCCUUCUUUAAAAGAUUGGUCUCAAGGCUGAGCUGAGGUUCUGUUUGCUUGUCCUCCAAGAUAGGCAAGAUCAAGAAACAGGCAUGGAAGGGAUUCUAGAAUGCUCUUCAG
rnacentral:lncRNA from 1 species